rnacentral:rRNA from 1 species
UCCCUGUGUUGAGGAAGAUAAUGACGGUACUCAACAAGGAAGUGACGGCUAACUACGUGCCAGCAGCCGCGGUAAAACGUAGGUCACAAGCGUUGUCCGGAAUUACUGGGUGUAAAGGGAGCGCAGGCGGGAAGACAAGUUGGAAGUGAAAUCCAUGGGCUCAACCCAUGAACUGCUUUCAAAACUGUUUUUCUUGAGUAGUGCAGAGGUAGGCGGAAUUCCCGGUGUAGCGGUGGAAUGCGUAGAUAUCGGGAGGAACACCAGUGGCGAAGGCGGCCUACUGGGCACCAACUGACGCUGAGGCUCGAAAGUGUGGGUAGCAAACAGGAUUAGAUACCCUGGUAGUCCACACUGUAAACGAUGAUUACUAGGUGUUGGAGGAUUGACCCCUUCAGUGCCGCAGUUAACACAAUAAGUAAUCCACCUGGGGAGUACGACCGCAAGGUUGAAACUCAAAGGAAUUGACGGGGGCCCGCACAAGCAGUGGAGUAUGUGGUUUAAUUCGACGCAACGCGAAGAACCUUACCAAGUCUUGACAUCCCUUGACGAUGCUGGAAACAGUAUUUCUCUUCGGAGCAAGGAGACAGGUGGUGCAUGGUUGUCGUCAGCUCGUGUCGUGAGAUGUUGGGUUAAGUCCCGCAACGAGCGCAACCCUUAUGGUCAGUUACUACGCAAGAGGACUCUGGCCAGACUGCCGUUGACAAA